GAUGAACGCUAGCGGUAGGCUUAAUACAUGCAAGUCGAACGGUAACAGGUGUAGCAAUACAUGCUGACGAGUGGCAGACGGGUGAGGGAACUCGUACGCAAUCUUCCUCUUUCUGGUGAAUAGCCCUGAGAAAUUAGGAUUAAUACACCAUAGUAUUACGAGAUGGCAUCAUUUUGUAAUUAAAACUCCGGUGGAAAGAGAUGAGCGUGCGCCUGAUUAGAUAGUUGGUGAGGUAACGGCUCACCAAGUCAACGAUCAGUAACUGGUGUGAGA
rnacentral:rRNA from 1 species